rnacentral:snRNA from 1 species
GUGCUCGCUUUGGCAGCACAUCUACUAAAACUGGAAUGAUACAGAGAAGAUUAAUAUGGCUCCCAUGCAAGGAUGAUAUGCAAAUUUGUGAAGCAUUCCAUAUUUUU